rnacentral:rRNA from 1 species
CGUAUGUAAUCUACCUUUUGCUGGGGGAUAGCCAGGGGAAACUUUGAUUAAUACCCCAUAAUAUAAAGGUUCUGCAUGGAGCCUUUAUUAAAACUCCGGUGGCAAAAGAUGAGCCUGCGUUUGAUUAGUUUGUUGGUGAGGUAAUGGCUCUACCAAGACUAUGAUCAAUAGGGGGCCUAAGAGGGUGUUCCCCCACACUGGUACUGAGACACGGACCAGACUUCUACGGAAGGCAGCAGUGAGGAAUAUUGGUCAAUGGAGGAAACUCUGAACCAGCUACGUCGUGUGCAGGAUGACAGUCUUUUAGGUUGUAAACUGCUUUUGUAUAGAAAUAAAACUCCUACGUGAUAGGAGCUUGAAGGUACUAUGUGAAUAAGUGUCGGCUAAUUCCGUGCCAGCAGCCGCGGCAAUACGGAUGACACAAGCGUUAUUCGGAUUUAUUGGGUUUAAAGGGUGUGUAGGCUGUUUAUUAAGUCAGUAGUGAAAGCUUACAGCUUAACUGUAAAAUUGCUAUUGAUACUGGUAAACUUGAGUAAGAUUGGAGCAUCUGGAAUGUAUGGUGUAGCGGUGAAAUGCAUAGAUAUCAUACAGAACACCGAUAGCGAAGGCAGGUUGCUAAAUCUUUACUGACGCUGAGAGCACGAAAGCGUGGGUAGCAAACAGGAUUAGAUACCCUGGUAGUCCACGCCCUAAACUAUGAUCACUAGCUAUUGGAAAAACGAUAUUCAGUGGCUUAGCGAAAGCGAUAAGUGAUCCACCUGGGAAGUACAGUCGCAAGAUUGAAACUCAAAGGAAUUGACGGGGGUUCGCACAAGCGGUGGAGCAUGUGGUUUAAUUCGAUGAUACGCGAGGAACCUUACCAAGGCUUAAAUGUAUUACGAAUAAGCUGGGAAACAGCUUAGUCUGUACGACGUAUUACAAGGUGCUGCAUGGUUGUCUUCAGUUCGUGCUGUGAAGUGUUUGGUUAAGUCCUAUAACGAGCGCAACCCCUAUUGUUAGUUG